GGCCACGUUCACGUGAUGGUGCUGUUUACUCUGCGCGUGGUUGGGUCCGUGCGCAUGCGCCAUAACCUCCUGUCCGCCCCCUCCUUGGAGCUUCCCUCGGAGAUCCGUUUGUGAGUGUGGGGCGUGGUUUGCUCUUCGGCGAGCGCCGCUGUCAGGCGCUUGGUCACAGUUUAAAUGGCCUUCCUGAAAAGCGGAGGUUUCCUGAGAGAAAUAGCUCUUUUCCCUCCAUUGCUAGGCUUGACUGUCAGACAUUCUAGACAGAUAGAUAGCCGUCUCCACACGGACUUUUGUGUGCGGUGUUGAAUUUUCGCUGCGCUGUGGAGAUGCCGAGCUUCCAGCCCGUGCCCAGAACGCCACGCAUUUGGAUCGAGACUGACGCGGGAAAGGCUUGGUAUCCACAGCAUCUUUAUUCAGAAGUCAGUCCUUUGGGGGGCCUGCUUAAAGAGUUCUGUAUGUGAACUGGACCACACAGCUACCUAUGAUUAUUGGUGCAUGGUCGAAUGUGUCCCCGUGCAAAAGGGAAAAUCCAUGUGCUGCAGCCUGCUGAAAACGAAUUCCGCUGGGCAUCAUUUUUCCUCUGGUGCAGCAAAAUCACAAAAGCACAGAAACAGAAUACUAGAGUUGGAAGGGUCUUAAUAAAACCAUCAAGUCCAAA